GACACCUCACAAUGAAGCAGGAAAAUAAACGGGCCCUGUUACACAAUUCUGGUUUUAAAAAGAAAAAUCAAACUGCCAUUUCCAGAGGAGCAGCGCCUGGGGCCCCUGUCCUGGAGGCAACAGGGCAGGAGCAAGGAGGGGACUGGGAGCUGGGUUUGAAGGGAUGGAAAUGAAGAUUGAAUAAUUCUCUGCUGUGAGGGUUUGGGGCUGGAGAUCUGCUGUGGUGUGGCCAGAGAUCCUGGAAAAAUUCCUUUUUCCCUCGUGCUGCCUGGAAUGAAGAUUUUCCUCCAGGGAUCAUGAACCAUGAGGAGGAGCUCAGGCAGGAAUUGUCUUCAUCCCGCUCCCUUGGCUUUUCAGGGCGUGAGAUCCCACCACUGAAGAAGUGAGAAGAAGAAAUGAAGAAGUGAGAUCCCUGCACUAAAGCAUGUUUAAUCCAGCUCCAUGGACAGGAGGUUUCUUGGAAUUAGAAGGAAGAAGCAAGACCAGGAGGACUUCAUGGGCCAUGAAGUAGUCAGGCUCUAACUGUACAUCAGGUGGAAAUUCACAUUUUCAUUGCAAAGGCCAGUGCUUGACCCCUCUUGGUCACUGUCAGGACCACCUUGCUGCAUCCACAGGGCCGUGCCAAACCCAGUUUGCAUCUCCAGUUGUCAGAGCAAGCCCUUAUGCCAUGAACUUCAAUCCUUGCUUGAGCUGGAACUUUCUGUUUGGUAACAAGGCACCUGGUGGAGGCAAACUCUCGUCCCCACUGG